rnacentral:rRNA from 1 species
UGGGGAAUUUUGGACAAUGGGCGAAAGCCUGAUCCAGCAAUGCCGCGUGUGUGAAGAAGGCCUUCGGGUUGUAAAGCACUUUUGUCCGGAAAGAAAUCCUUGGCUCUAAUACAGUCGGGGGAUGACGGUACCGGAAGAAUAAGCACCGGCUAACUACGCGCCAGCAGCCGCGGUAAUACGUAGGGUGCAAGCGUUAAUCGGAAUUACUGGGCGUAAAGCGUGCGCAGGCGGUUUGCUAAGACCGAUGUGAAAUCCCCGGGCUCAACCUGGGAACUGCAUUGGUGACUGGCAGGCUAGAGUAUGGCAGAGGGGGGUAGAAUUCCACGUGUAGCAGUGAAAUGCGUAGAGAUGUGGAGGAAUACCGAUGGCGAAGGCAGCCCCCUGGGCCAAUACUGACGCUCAUGCACGAAAGCGUGGGGAGCAAACAGGAUUAGAUACCCUGGUAGUCCACGCCCUAAACGAUGUCAACUAGUUGUUGGGGAUUCAUUUCCUUAGUAACGUAGCUAACGCGUGAAGUUGACCGCCUGGGGAGUACGGUCGCAAGAUUAAAACUCAAAUGAAUUGACGGGGUCAUAGCUGUUUCCU